UUUUUUUAUUUUCCUAUUAAUUUUGACACUAUUUGAAGCAUACCUUUUUCUAUAGAUUUUUGCACAGCAAGCCAGUGGUCUUAGUCUAUGCACAGCAUAGUUUUUCCCAGUCUACCGAUACUAUCAUCUUACAAGCUCAAGUAAACUUUAGAAAAACUUAUAUCAGUCUGCAUCCCUUUAGCCUGCCAUCUUAAAAAAAGGGAAGAAAAAGAAUAAACCCCUACAUUGAUCAAUAAUCACUGCACAUUGGUUCAAUUUUCCACUUCAAUAAUCCAACAUGAUUAGAAAAUUCAAAGGCUACAUGAAAUCCACAUCUAUUUUUUUCUCUAAUUCGUCUUCCUUCCCUCUUUCUUUAUUUCCACUCAGAAGAUUCCUCUAGAUGAGGCAACACAUUCUCACAGUCUUUCUUGUUCUGAAACUAUCGCAGCUCUCCUCAUCCUUGGAGGGUGUUUUCAACAGAAGCAGAAUGGCAUUGGCUGCUGCUCUCUUUCGGAACUUAAACAAUCCCAUGCUGUGACAUUUCUGUCUCCAUGGUUUGUGACAAACAUCCCGCUCUCUCAUAACCAUCGUUCCUCUCUGUUCUCAACGUUCUAAUUUUUCCUUAAGUGUUUAUGUUUUCUGUGUUCCAGCGUUGAUGCCUUUGGCUUUGCCUGGUCAUGUUCACAUCAGCUGUACAUGCCUGCAGAUCCCUGCCUUUUGCCCAACCCAGGAGUCUAUUUCUUAUGUUUCAUUUUUAUUCUAGAACCUUCUAGAAUUUUAGAAUGUUAGAUUGUCUUCCAUUCUGCCAAAUGUCAUUGAAGCUUCUUCCCAAGUCUCCAGUCUGUUUUUUCUGAUUGAAUAAUGUCGACUUGUUUUUUUUUCCCCAAGUGUACUGACUUCUCUGUCUUCCUUCUGCUUUCUUCUGUUGGGUUCAUCCGUUGAGUUUUUAUUACCUUUACCUUGGUUUUUAGUUCUAAAGGUUUUACUUGGUUCAUCUGUGUUGUUAUUUCCUCUUUCUUCAAUGAACCGUUCCACAUUUGCCUCUGUUUGAGGCAUUUUCACACGUUUUAACUUUGGGAUCCUUGUUAGACAGUUCAGUCCUCUGAAUCACUACAGGGGUGCUAUCAUCUUUCAUUUAACCUGAGAGUCUUAUAGUUUUGCUACGAAUAACUUUUAUGGCUAACUGAAUAUUUUGCACAGUACAAGACUCUAGACUUUGUUUAAAUCACCUGGAUUAACAAGCCAUUUUGAUAUCACACGAGCAAAGGAAGAAAGAAGGCCUCGCCAUGGCAACUCUGACUCACGACUCAUGCCAGCAACCAGAUUAUUCUCACACGAGUGCUUGCAGUGCUGAACGUUCAGGCCCAUGUCACACAAACAACCCUGUAAUGUUGUUGCUGAUGCUGCUGCUGAUACUGCUGCUGCUGCUGCUGAUACUGCUGAUGCUGCUGCUGCUGAAUUUAUGAAAUAAUACUUUCCACCUGUCUCCAAUACCAAUAUUCUUGGAACACAGACUUUGCUGCUA